CGUCAAAAUCGAAAAAAAAAAUACUUUUCUGUCUACUUUAGUCACGUGAUCAUAAACGACUGUGAUUGGCUGAAUGGUUGAUGACG